rnacentral:misc_RNA from 1 species
AGUCGUAACAAGGUUUCCGUAGGUGAACCUGCGGAAGGAUCAUUAUCACAAAUGAUUUUUAACUCUCUUAAUCCAGAGUUAAACCUCUUCUUAAACCAAUCUAAUUAAAAUGUGAAAUCGUUUUAUUUUAAGACUUGGCAACAAGUCUUAAAAUUAUUAACCAAUUGAACCCUUUUCUAAUUAAUGUUAUUUUAUUUAUUUAGUUCUGAAAUCUAUUAUAUAUCAAUAUGUAAUAAUAUUGACAUGUAAUAAGUUACAUUACGAAACAAUUUAAAUAAAACAACUCUUAGCAACGGAUAUCUUGGUUCUC